rnacentral:lncRNA from 1 species
AUAAGGAUAGGACUGUAUUUAGGUCAAAAGAAACUUGAUCAAGUUGAAUCAUAAUUUUGGAUAAUAUCGGAAUCCGGAGCCUUGAUUCCAUUGGUACAAAGAAGUGAAAAAGGGGGUAGUUGACUUCUUGUAUUCCUAGUUUUGCGGGUACUUGACUUGGUCUGCCUGGAGGCUUGCCCUUCGAUCUGCACGUGGGUGAGAUGGGUGUAGAGUAGAGAAUGGGGAAUAGCCCUCCUAGCUCAAAAAAAAAAGAAAAUUUUACUAUUUGAUAUCCCUUGUUUAAAUCAU